rnacentral:rRNA from 1 species
UUAAGCGACUAAGCGUACACGGUGGAUGCCCUGGCAGUCAGAGGCGAUGAAGGACGUGCUAAUCUGCGAUAAGCGUCGGUAAGGUGAUAUGAACCGUUAUAACCGGCGAUUUCCGAAUGGGGAAACCCAGUGUGAUUCGUCACACUAUCAUUAACUGAAUCCAUAGGUUAAUGAGGCGAACCGGGGGAACUGAAACAUCUAAGUACCCCGAGGAAAAGAAAUCAACCGAGAUUCCCCCAGUAGCGGCGAGCGAACGGGGAGCAGCCCAGAGCCUGAAUCAGUGUGUGUGUUAGUGGAAGCGUCUGGAAAGGCGCGCGAUACAGGGUGACAGCCCCGUACACAAAAAUGCACAUGCUGUGAGCUCGAUGAGUAGGGCGGGACACGUGGUAUCCUGUCUGAAUAUGGGGGGACCAUCCUCCAAGGCUAAAUACUCCUGACUGACCGAUAGUGAACCAGUACCGUGAGGGAAAGGCGAAAAGAACCCCGGCGAGGGGAGUGAAAAAGAACCUGAAACCGUGUACGUACAAGCAGUGGGAGCACGCUUAGGCGUGUGACUGCGUACCUUUUGUAUAAUGGGUCAGCGACUUAUAUUCUGUAGCAAGGUUAACCGAAUAGGGGAGCCGAAGGGAAACCGAGUCUUAACUGGGCGUUAAGUUGCAGGGUAUAGACCCGAAACCCGGUGAUCUAGCCAUGGGCAGGUUGAAGGUUGGGUAACACUAACUGGAGGACCGAACCGACUAAUGUUGAAAAAUUAGCGGAUGACUUGUGGCUGGGGGUGAAAGGCCAAUCAAACCGGGAGAUAGCUGGUUCUCCCCGAAAGCUAUUUAGGUAGCGCCUCGUGAAUUCAUCUCCGGGGGUAGAGCACUGUUUCGGCAAGGGGGUCAUCCCGACUUACCAACCCGAUGCAAACUGCGAAUACCGGAGAAUGUUAUCACGGGAGACACACGGCGGGUGCUAACGUCCGUCGUGAAGAGGGAAACAACCCAGACCGCCAGCUAAGGUCCCAAAGUCAUGGUUAAGUGGGAAACGAUGUGGGAAGGCCCAGACAGCCAGGAUGUUGGCUUAGAAGCAGCCAUCAUUUAAAGAAAGCGUAAUAGCUCACUGGUCGAGUCGGCCUGCGCGGAAGAUGUAACGGGGCUAAACCAUGCACCGAAGCUGCGGCAGCGACGCUGAUGCGUUGUUGGGUAGGGGAGCGUUCUGUAAGCCUGCGAAGGUGUGCUGUGAGGCAUGCUGGAGGUAUCAGAAGUGCGAAUGCUGACAUAAGUAACGAUAAAGCGGGUGAAAAGCCCGCUCGCCGGAAGACCAAGGGUUCCUGUCCAACGUUAAUCGGGGCAGGGUGAGUCGACCCCUAAGGCGAGGCCGAAAGGCGUAGUCGAUGGGAAACAGGUUAAUAUUCCUGUACUUGGUGUUACUGCGAAGGGGGGACGGAGAAGGCUAUGUUGGCCGGGCGACGGUUGUCCCGGUUUAAGCGUGUAGGCUGGUUUUCCAGGCAAAUCCGGAAAAUCAAGGCUGAGGCGUGAUGACGAGGCACUACGGUGCUGAAGCAACAAAUGCCCUGCUUCCAGGAAAAGCCUCUAAGCAUCAGGUAACAUCAAAUCGUACCCCAAACCGACACAGGUGGUCAGGUAGAGAAUACCAAGGCGCUUGAGAGAACUCGGGUGAAGGAACUAGGCAAAAUGGUGCCGUAACUUCGGGAGAAGGCACGCUGAUAUGUAGGUGAAGUCCCUCGCGGAUGGAGCUGAAAUCAGUCGAAGAUACCAGCUGGCUGCAACUGUUUAUUAAAAACACAGCACUGUGCAAACACGAAAGUGGACGUAUACGGUGUGACGCCUGCCCGGUGCCGGAAGGUUAAUUGAUGGGGUUAGCGCAAGCGAAGCUCUUGAUCGAAGCCCCGGUAAACGGCGGCCGUAACUAUAACGGUCCUAAGGUAGCGAAAUUCCUUGUCGGGUAAGUUCCGACCUGCACGAAUGGCGUAAUGAUGGCCAGGCUGUCUCCACCCGAGACUCAGUGAAAUUGAACUCGCUGUGAAGAUGCAGUGUACCCGCGGCAAGACGGAAAGACCCCGUGAACCUUUACUAUAGCUUGACACUGAACAUUGAGCCUUGAUGUGUAG